AUUGAACGCUGGCGGCAGGCCUAACACAUGCAAGUCGAACGCGUGGCGGACGGGUGCGUAAUGUCUGGGAAACAGCCAGAUGGAGGGGGAUAACUACUGGAAACGGUAGCUAAUACCGCAUACCAUCGGAUGUGCCCAGAUGGGAUUAGAUAGUAGGUGGGGUAAAGGCUCACCUAGGCCACGAUCCCUAGCUGGUCUGAGAGGAUGAACAGCAAAACUGGAACGGAGACACGGUCCAGACUCCUACGGGAGGCAGCAGUGGGGAAUAUUGCACAAUGGGCGAAAGCCUGAUGCAGCAAUGCCGCGUGUAUGAAGAAGGCCGUCGGAUUGUAAAGUACUGUCAGCAGGGAAGCGGUACCCGCAGAGGAAGCACCGGCUAACUCCGUGCCAGCAGCCGCGGUAAUAC
rnacentral:rRNA from 1 species